AUUCUACUCCCUCCGUUGCACAAUACAUGCCUUCUAUUUGUCAAAAUAUAUAUGUAUCUAGACAUGUUUUAGUAUAUAGGUACAUCCAUUUUUGGAUAAAUGGAAGUCAAGUAUUUUGGAACGGAGGGAGUACACA
rfam:Triticum urartu cultivar G1812 contig1000385, whole genome shotgun sequence.